rnacentral:lncRNA from 1 species
AAUUGCUUCCGAAGGUUCUCCAACAAUGAAGACGUUUGGUUUUAUUGAUUUUCUCAUAUUUUUCCCUACUUUUGGAUGUAUUAGCUUGAAAACUGAGGUUGUCACCUUAACAGUGACAAAUAUGGACGCUUUUAACUUUUUACGAGGGGUUCAGCGUGGAGUGCGCUCUGUCCCGGCGGCAGGAGAGGAGACCGGGAGUCCUGGAAAAAUAAAGACAGCCGAGCAAGACGCUUCUUCUACCUGGAGAGCAGCGAUAUACCAACGGGACACCGGCCUCACCUCCUUUUUCCUCUUUCCGGGACCCCAGUCUGCACGGGCUUUUUUUGGGGGGUGGUCUGAACCGCCCCCAUUUAUAACCUGAAUCCUGGCGAGCGAAAAGGAGGAAAAAAGGUAUCUGAGAAAUGUGAACCACGUGACACUUUAUCAACGUACCAACGUUUCUGUAAUUUCUUUUAUAACCUCGUAUGUUGUAAUAAAUGAGUGAAUGUAAACCGUGAUGCUUAUUCCGGAUUUGUGGUUUGUGUUUGUGGGGUUUUGGGGAGGGUGGGGUUAGAGGAUUGUACCGCGCCACCCACCGGUCGCCAGUGAACGCUUGGAGGGUCUUGUCCUUCCCGACGC